UACGGAGGGUGCAAGCGUUGUCCGGAAUCAUUGGGUGUAAAGGGUGCGUAGGCGGGCUGCUAAGUCGGAGGUGAAAUCUUGCCGCUCAACGGUAAAAUGGCCUUCGAUACUGGCAGUCUUGAGUUCAGAAGAGGCCGGUGGAAUUUGUGGUGUAGCGGUGAAAUGCAUAGAGAUCACAAAGAACACCAGUGGCGAAGGCGGCCGGCUGGUCUGACACUGACGCUGAGGCACGAGAGCGUGGGGAGCGAACAGG
rnacentral:misc_RNA from 1 species